rnacentral:rRNA from 1 species
AUUGAACGCUGGCGGCAGGCCUAACACAUGCAAGUCGAACGAGUGGCGGACGGGUGAGUAAUGUCUGGGAAACUGCCCGAUGGAGGGGGAUAACUACUGGAAACGGUAGCUAAUACCGCAUACCAUCGGAUGUGCCCAGAUGGGAUGAGCUAGUAGGUGGGGUAACGGCUCACCUAGGCGACGAUCCCUAGCUGGUCUGAGAGGAUGACCAGCCAAACGGGAACGGAGACACGGUCCAGACUCCUACGGGAGGAAGAAGUGGGGAAUAUUGGACAAUGGGCGCAAGCCGGAUGCAGCAAUGCCGCGUGGAUGAAGAGGGCCUUCGGGUUGUAAAGUACUUUCAGCGAGGAGGCGUUACUCGCAGAAGAAGCACCGGCUAACUCCGUGCCAGCAGCCGCGGUAAUAC